GCAUUAAUGGGGUAGUGGUAACCUGGGUCGUUGCCAUCUGAUGUGCGUAACAGUCAAUAUCUAUACGCUCGACCCGCCGGGGGUUCGAUUCCCUCUUAAUGCA